ensembl:lncRNA
GUAGUGUUGGAACAAAAUGGCUUUUUCAGCAAGAACCUGCAACUCCCUAAGGACUGUUAUUUGUCCAAAACAAAGUGGGUCAAGUCCUUUGCUGGUAUUAGGUAAGGUUACUUGCUCCCAUGUGUUGAUUAACCCUCUGUAACUAAUGAUGAUUAUCUUUUGGAAUCUCGUUCGUCUGAAAUCCUGUUGAUAAAUCUUUAUUACUGAAGUUACAGUACAUGAUUCACUUUUUUUUUUUUUUUUAAAUGCUAUUUGUAUCUGAAAUGACACUCUGAUUGGUUUUCUCUCCAAAAGGUUGCGUACCUGAAGUACUCUCAGCAGGUAGGAAUAUGCAUCUCUCAUGACCCAUUCCAUUGAAAUGGUCCCUUUUGUAGUUAAUUUGCAUCUCUGUGCUCUUCCAUCUGUAAUACACUCAAUCCCUCUGUAACUGAUGAUGAUUACCUUUUUGGAAUCUCGUUCGUCUGAAAUCCUGUUGAUAAAUCUUAUUACUGAAGUUACAGUACAUGAUUCAUCUAGAUUUUUGAAUGCUUUUUGUAUCUGAAGUGACACUCCGAUUGGUUUUCUCUCCUAAAAGGUUGCAUACCUGAAAUACUCCGCAGGUAAGAAUAUGCAUUUCUCAUGACAAAUUUCAUUGAAAUGGUCCCUUUGUAGUUAACUUGCACUACUUGCUACUCUAUUCCAUCUGUAACCUAUGAUGAUUUUUGCAGUCUCGUUCGUCUGAAGUCCUGCUGAUUAAUUAAUAUUACUGAUGUUACAGAUUUGGCAUCUGUAUGUGUGUUAUCUCUGCAUUUGUGUAGGUCUCCCAUCCUAUUUUUUUUUUUUUUUUAACCUAUAGGUGGCACAUCUGAGAUGAGACAUUCACAGGACUACAGUGGAUUCUUGAAGUCCUUCCCCCUUGAGCAUACUAUAACAGACUGCAGUGAAUUUUCCCUCAGAGUUCUUUACCCCUUGAGCGUACUGAAGCUGGUGUUGCUACUGUCCAUCCAGGUUGUCCCAGUGUCACUUGAUUGCUGGUGUUCUGUUGACUUUUAAAGGUCACGUAAACUGCAUCAGAAGUUGAACUGGCUGACACACUGAUCUGUGUCCUUGUACAUCUGCUUAACUGGAGUGUUGGCUGAAUGGUGUUAUUGACUGACGAUAUAAAUGGAAUGUGUUUCCUUUGUAUUCUUUAUUCAAAAGCUGCUUGCAAAAUAAAUGGCUUUACUGAAUUUGCGGUUUCAAUUCCUGUUUUGUGUCCCUGAGUCUUCAACCUUUUGCAUUCGUUUGUAUCAGAACUUAAUUUCUCUAAAUGGAAAAGUGACACUUUGCAGUAAACUUUAGCUUGUAAUGCUUGAGACAUCAUGAACCAACAAAUAGCAUUUAAUUGUAGAAUGUUUGCUCAAACUUAUACAACUUGACUAUUCACAGCACUUAAUAUAAAAGUAGUGUUCAAUGUUAGGUUAAUGUGUUAAGGUAAGAUUUGAACUAAAGCAAAAAGUACUUAACAAAACGAGCUGAGGUCCAAAAAAUACCCCUUAACCCCUUAACUGUCACCUAUUCCCACCUGUGGGUACGCUUGGCACUUUUUUUUGUUCUUUUUCUCUAUAAAAUCUUUUAGUAAUCAUCAUAAAUUAUAUAUCAUUUGAAAGCUUAGAAGCCCAAGAUUCAUCCUGUGAAAACCAUUUUGAAAUCGGACAUUGCGUUACCAUGGAAAUGGUACUUUAAAGUCUUAUGGCGGUCUCCUCCCCCUUAGUGGGCAGUGUCUAGUGUCAUAUUACAAAAUGCAUUACGGUCUUUAGAAUCAAAACUUUAUAUAAUCUUGGCCAACAAACAUAUCAUUGGAAAGGUCUGAGUCUCAGGAUUCCAUAUUUGGUGGUUAUUUUAGUGUUGACUAAAAUUGACAGAGAAAUCUAGGAAAAAUUCAUUAAUACAAAAUUCAAAGGAGUUUUGAUGGCUCCCAGUGGCU